rnacentral:rRNA from 1 species
UACGUAGGGUGCGAGCGUUGUCCGGAAUUACUGGGCGUAAAGAGCUCGUAGGUGGUUUGUCGCGUUGUCCGUGAAAACUCACAGCUCAACUGUGGGCGUGCGGGCGAUACGGGCAGACUGGAGUACUGCAGGGGAGACUGGAAUUCCUGGUGUAGCGGUGGAAAUGCGCAGAUAUCAGGAGGAACACCGGUGGCGAAGGCGG